rnacentral:rRNA from 1 species
CACGUGGGCAAUCUGCCCUUCACUCUGGGACAAGCCCUGGAAACGGGGUCUAAUACCGGAUAAUACUCUGUUCCGCAUGGAACGGGGUUGAAAGCUCCGGCGGUGAAGGAUGAGCCCGCGGCCUAUCAGCUUGUUGGUGGGGUAAUGGCCUACCAAGGCGACGACGGGUAGCCGGCCUGAGAGGGCGACCGGCCACACUGGGACUGAGACACGGCCCAGACUCCUACGGGAGGCAGCAGUGGGGAAUAUUGCACAAUGGGCGAAAGCCUGAUGCAGCGACGCCGCGUGAGGGAUGACGGCCUUCGGGUUGUAAACCUCUUUCAGCAGGGAAGAAGCGCAAGUGACGGUACCUGCAGAAGAAGCGCCGGCUAACUACGUGCCAGCAGCCGCGGUAAUACGUAGGGCGCAAGCGUUGUCCGGAAUUAUUGGGCGUAAAGAGCUCGUAGGCGGCUUGUCACGUCGGAUGUGAAAGCCCGGGGCUUAACCCCGGGUCUGCAUUCGAUACGGGCUAGCUAGAGUGUGGUAGGGGAGAUCGGAAUUCCUGGUGUAGCGGUGAAAUGCGCAGAUAUCAGGAGGAACACCGGUGGCGAAGGCGGAUCUCUGGGCCAUUACUGACGCUGAGGAGCGAAAGCGUGGGGAGCGAACAGGAUUAGAUACCCUGGUAGUCCACGCCGUAAACGUUGGGAACUAGGUGUUGGCGACAUUCCACGUCGUCGGUGCCGCAGCUAACGCAUUAAGUUCCCCGCCUGGG